AACCUGGUUGAUCCUGCCAGUAGUCAUAUGCUUGUCUCAAAGACUAAGCCAUGCAUGUCUAAGUAUAAAUGGUAUACAGUAAAACUGCGAAUGGCUCAUUAAAACAGUUAUAGUUUAUUUGGUAAUCGAAUUUACAUGGAUAACCGUGGUAAUUCUAGAGCUAAUACAUGCUGUAAAGCCCGACUUCUCGGAAGGGCCGUGUUUAUUAGAUAACAGACCAACAGUCUCCGGCUAUUGUGGUGAAUCAUAGUAACUAAUCGGAUCAGCAUGGGCGAGUCCCGCGACAAACCAUUCAAGUUUCUGCCCCAUCAGCUUCCGACGG
rnacentral:rRNA from 1 species